rnacentral:rRNA from 1 species
CUGCGAAUGGCUCAUUAAAUCAGUUAUCGUUUAUUUGAUAGUACCUUACCACUUGGAUAACCGUGGUAAUUCUAGAGCUAAUACAUGCUAAAAACCCCGACUUCGGAAGGGGUGUGUUUAUUAGAUAAAAAACCAAUGCCCUUCGGGGCUCUUUGGUGAUUCAUGAUAACCUAACGGAUCGCAUGGCCUUGCGCCGGCGACGGUUCAUUCAAAUUUCUGCCCUAUCAACUUUCGAUGGUAAGGUAUUGGCUUACCAUGGUUUCAACGGGUAACGGGGAAUUAGGGUUCGAUUCCGGAGAGGGAGCCUGAGAAACGGCUACCACAUCCAAGGAAGGCAGCAGGCGCGCAAAUUACCCAAUCCCGACACGGGGAGGUAGUGACAAUAAAUACUGAUACAGGGCUCUUUUGGGUCUUGUAAUUGGAAUGAGUACAAUUUAAACCCCUUAACGAGGAACAAUUGGAGGGCAAGUCUGGUGCCAGCAGCCGCGGUAAUUCCAGCUCCAAUAGCGUAUAUUAAAGUUGUUGCAGUUAAAAAGCUCGUAGUUGAAACUUGGGUCUGGCUAGCGGGUCCGCCUCACCGCGUGCACUUGUCCGGCUGGACCUUUCCUUCUGGAGAACCUCAUGCCCUUCACUGGGUGUGUUGGGGAACCAGGACUUUUACUUUGAAAAAAUUAGAGUGUUCAAAGCAGGCCUUUGCUCGAAUACGUUAGCAUGGAAUAAUAGAAUAGGACGUGCGGUCCUAUUUUGUUGGUUUCUAGGAUCGCCGUAAUGAUUAAUAGGGAUAGUCGGGGGCAUCAGUAUUCAAUUGUCAGAGGUGAAAUUCUUGGAUUUAUUGAAGACUAACUACUGCGAAAGCAUUUGCCAAGGAUGUUUUCAUUAAUCAGUGAACGAAAGUUAGGGGAUCGAAGACGAUCAGAUACCGUCGUAGUCUUAACCGUAAACUAUGCCGACUAGGGAUCGGGCGAUGUUUCUAUCUUGACUCGCUCGGCACCUUACGAGAAAUCAAA